rnacentral:misc_RNA from 1 species
AAAUGCGAUAAGUAAUGUGAGUUGCAGAAUUCAGUGAAUCAUCGAAUCUUUGAACGCACCUUGCGCUCCUUGGUAUUCCUUGGAGCAUGCCUGUUUGAGUAUCAUGAAAUCUUCAAAGUAAAUCUUUUGUUAACUCAAUUGGUUUCUACUUUGGUAUUGGAGGUCUUUGCAGCUUCACACCUGCUCCUCUUUGUUCAUUAGCUGGAUCUCAGUGUUAUGCUUGGUUCCACUCGGCGUGAUAAGUUAUCUAUCGCUGAGGACACUGUAAAAGGUGGCCAAGGUAAAUGCAGAUGAACCGCUUCUAAUAGUCCAUUGACUUGGACAAUACUUUUAUGAUCUGAUCUCAAAUCAGGUAGGACUACCCGCUGAACUUAAGC